AUUGAACGCUGGCGGCAUGCCUUACACAUGCAAGUCGAACGGCAGCACGGGUGCUUGCACCUGGUGGCGAGUGGCGAACGGGUGAGUAAUACAUCGGAACGUACCUUAUCGUGGGGGAUAACGCAGCGAAAGCUGUGCUAAUACCGCAUACGCCCUGAGGGGGAAAGCGGGGGAUCGCAAGACCUCGCGCGAUUAGAGCGGCCGAUGCCUGAUUAGCUUGGUGGUGGGGUAAAAGCCCACCAAGGCGACGAUCAGUAGCUGGUCUGAGAGGACGAUCAGCCACACGGAGACUGAGACACGGCCCAGACUCCUACGGGAGGCAGCAGUGGUGAAUUUUGGACAAUGGGGGCAACCCUGAUACAGCAAUGCCGCGUGAGUGAAGAAGGCCUUCGGGUUGUAAAGCUCUUUUGUCAGGGAAGAAACACCGGCUCUAACACAGUCUGGGAAUGACGGUACCUGCAGAAUAAGCACCGGCUAACUACGUGCCAGCCGCCGCCGUAA
rnacentral:rRNA from 1 species